rnacentral:piRNA from 1 species
UGACCUCUGAAAUGGAGAAGCCUAGAGGAAU